GGGACAAGCUCUCAUUCAAUCUCUUGUAGCUCUCUCUUCUUUGGUAACGAUGUCUUCUUGCUGUGGUGGAAAGUGUGGCUGCGGGUCUGCCUGCAAGUGUGGCAGUGGAUGCAAUGGAUGUGGUAUGUAUCCUGACUUGGCUGAGGGGAGCACUGCCUCUACCACUAUGAUCAUGGGGUUUGCUCCUACCAAGGGGGAGUUUGAGUGGUUUGAGAUGUAUGCUGAGAAUGGUGGCUGUGGCUGCAAGUGUGGUGAUAACUGCAACUGCAACCCCUGCAAGUGUGGCAAGUGAGCUCUCCAUGGAGAAGAGGAUGUAGGGUUUGAUACCCUUUGUUUACUUGUUUCUGUUGUAGUGCUGAAUAAUGGCCAUGGGUUUAUAUGAUGCAAGUCUUUUUGCACCAUGAGUGGUUGUUCACCAGUGGCUUAGUGUCUUGUGUUGGCUUUGUAUGGUCUGUUGAAAUUACUGAAGUGUUGUUUUUAGUGUUUUAUCUAAAUGGAAUAUUAUUGAGUAAUUAUCAUCUUCAAA
rnacentral:misc_RNA from 1 species